GUAGUCGAAAUUGAUUACACUCGUAUAUCCUCGGUGAUAUGGUCCGAAAGUAUCUAGCCCGAAGCCGUAAAUUUCGGGACUACGAGUUAUUCACGUGCAUUU
rnacentral:ncRNA from 2 species